UACGAAGGGUGCAAGCGUUACUCGGAAUUACUGGGCGUAAAGCGUGCGUAGGUGGUUCGUUAAGUCUGUCGUGAAAGCCCCGGGCUCAACCUGGGAAUGGCGAUGGAUACUGGCGGGCUAGAGUGCGGUAGAGGAGAGUGGAAUUCCCGAUGUAGCAGUGAAAUGCGUAGAGAUCGGGAGGAACAUCAGUUGCGAAGGCGGCUCUCUGGACCAGCACUGACACUGAGGCACGAAAGCGUGGGGAGCAAACAGG
rnacentral:rRNA from 1 species